AUGCAUGUCAAUGUGAAGAGGCUGUGAAACCUCUCCAAAUGCAGGUAACAAACCUGUGCAGCAUUAGAUCGUGAGGCUGUUUGAACAACCACAUACUUAGACCAGCACUUAGACCAGCUUAGCAUCAGGAUGCAUGUCGAUGUGAAGAGGCUGUGAAACCUCCAAAUGCAGGUAACAAACCUGUGCAGCAUUUGAUCGUGAGGCUGUUUGAACAACCACAUACUUAGACCAGCACUUAGACCAGCUUAGCAUCAGGAUGCAUGUCAAUGUGAAGAGGCUGUGAAACCUCUCCAAAUGCAGGUACCAUACCUGUGCAGCAUUUGAUUGAGAGGCAGUUUGAACAACCACAUACUAGACCAGCACUUAGACCAGCUUAGCAACAGGAUGCAUGUCAAUGUGAAGAGGCUGUGAAACAUCCUUAAAUGUUGGGUAUCGAUGGAUAUAGGGUCAACCACACAGUUUAUCACCCCAAUGCGUCAGAGAAAGGACAUCAAUACUGAAGUGGGUAUGCAAAUGGAUUCCAUCUAUUCAAAACCAUGAAAGAACCUGCUAUGACACAACCAGUAAUGAUGUUUCCCUCAAGCGGAAAGCAGUAGAGUGGACUUUCGUUUGAUUAGUCGCCACUAGCACCACAGAAUUCAUGUACAUUACAGCAGGGGUGUGCAUGAUCCUAACAGACAGCCAUUACCAACAUGAUCAAGGCCAUAUUGAAUGUUAUUGAAAUGUAUGUUUUCCAUAAGUUUCAGUAAAUGGAAAGCAUUGUCACUUUUUGUUUAAAUUCCUAUCGCUUAAAGAGGUAGUUCAGUUUUGGUAAAGUGGGUGCUACACAAAAUAAUUUGUUUGUGAGAUAAUGAAAAUCAAGUGUAAAAUUUGAAAUUUUGAAACAGCUGAAAUAUCAAUAAAUAUAUCCAGUCAGAAUAAAUUUGGGCCCCAAAUUUAUAAGAUGAUUUUUCUAAAAAUUAAUAAAAUGCUUACACUUUUCAAACAUUUUUAAAAGAGGUUUUUAAAAAGUUGUUGAUGAUUUCUUUAUAUCAUCAUUAUUUCAACACAACAUCACAAGCAUAACUUUGUAUGAAAAAUGGUUCAAACCAAUGUUUUUUUAGAGCGCCUUCUUGUGUUUCAAUGGCUCUUUUUGAAUGAUAACAGGUUAUUUUUUUCCAUAGUCUUCGUAAUUUUCUAUAACUUUCAAGCAUGGUGAACUAAUAACUAUUAGAUUGUAGUGUUGUUGUUUUAUGGUAACUAAAGCUUAGCUCUAACAAAAUUGUACUACCCCUCUCAAGGGAAUGUCCACCAUUUACAUCGUCUGAAUAUUUUCUCGUAGAUGGAUGGGGACGAAUUCAAUAUUCAAAUAAAAUGUCAGGUCGAACACCUGUUACCGGUAUUUGGAUUCUACAAAUGAAAAA
rnacentral:lncRNA from 1 species